GACGAACGCUGGCGGCGUGCUUAACACAUGCAAGUCGAACGGAAAGGCCCUGCUUUUGUGGGGUGCUCGAGUGGCGAACGGGUGAGUAACACGUGAGUAACCUGCCCUUGACUUUGGGAUAACUUCAGGAAACUGGGGCUAAUACCGGAUAGGAGCUCCUGCUGCAUGGUGGGGGUUGGAAAGUUUCGGCGGUUGGGGAUGGACUCGCGGCUUAUCAGCUUGUUGGUGGGGUAGUGGCUUACCAAGGCUUUGACGGGUAGCCGGCCUGAGAGGGUGACCGGCCACAUUGGGACUGAGAUACGGCCGAGACUCCUACGGGAGGCAGCAGUGGGGAAUAUUGCACAAUGGGCGGAAGCCUGAUGCAGCAACGCCGCGUGCGGGAUGACGGCCUUCGGGGUGUAAACCGCUUUCGCCUGUGACGAAGCGUGAGUGACGGUAAUGGGUAAAGAGGCACCGGCUAACUACG
rnacentral:rRNA from 1 species